GCUGGGUACAGUUGUGCAUGCCUGUAAUCCCAGCAACUAGGGAGGCUGAGGCAGUAGGAUCCCAAGUUCAAGGCCAGCCUCAGCAAUUUAGCAAGGCCCUAAGCAACUUAGUGAGACCCUGUCUCAA
rnacentral:sRNA from 1 species